GCUAUGAGGGCUGAGUGGUUAAGGUGUUAGACUUGAAAUUUGCUGUGGUUUUUCUGUGCAGGUUUGAAUCCUGCUUGUAGCU
rnacentral:tRNA from 1 species